GGCCUGGAAAGGAGAUCCUCCACCCAGGGACCACCGACCACCCACUGGGAGGUAAGCCGGCCGACGUCUGUCUGUCUGUCUAAUUUUGUCUCGUUCUACCUUAUUCUGUCUGUUCUGUGAGCGCUCAGCCAGGUCUGUUCUGUGGGCGCUCAGCCAAGUCUGUUCUGUGAGCGCUCAGCCAGGUUCUGUGAGCACUCAGCCAGGUCUGUUCUGUGAGUGCUCAGCCAGGUUGUUUGGAAUUUGGGCGGGACGAAGAAGGAGCUGACGAGCUCGGACUUCUCGCCCCGCAGCCCUGGAAGACGUUCCAAGGGUGCUAGGGGCCCGACUUUUCGGGCCCCAAUCUGGGAGAGGAGAAAGAUCCGGACUAACGGCACCUCUGUCUGUAUUUUUGGCUUUCAGAGGGCCCCGGACCUUUGCCACCUCUAUCUGAGAAAGAUCCGGACUAACGGCACUCUGUCUGUAUUUUUGGCUUUCAGAGGGCCCCGGACUUUUGCCACCUCUAUCUGACUUUUUGCUUUCAG
rnacentral:lncRNA from 1 species